CAGAGAACUAGGAGAAAGUUGAGGAGAGUGUGGCAUCCUGGAAACCAACUUAAAAACAUUCUGCCAGGGAGGAAGCAAUCAAGAUAUCAAGGCACUACUGUGAAUGGCAAAUGGCAAUUAGCUGUACUGAGUACAAAUAUGAAUUUCUGGUGGAAAAGGAAUCACUAGAACAAGGAUUUGAGAAAGAAAUAAAGGAGAGUAGUGAGGAAUGAAGAUGAUGUAUGGAAAGCAUUUAGCAUGAGAAUUCAAGAAUGGAAUUCCUCAUCUGAACUCUCACCAAUACACACACAUAUACACACGUGUACCAGGAAAUAAUACAGGACUGUUCAGAAAAAUAAAGCAAAA